CAUGAUCUAGCGAUUAGGAUUACUGGUUUUCAACCAGGCAGCCUGGGUUCAACUCCCGGUG
rnacentral:tRNA from 1 species